UGACUUCCCUGACUCCUUCCUGUGUGUGGUGGUCCUGGAGUCCAUCAGAUGUGGCUAGCAGAGCAAGAGGGCUGUAGAAAGCCAAAUUUCCCUGAUCUGCACCUCACCGGGUAAACUUCCUUCAUGUCAGCCUGCUUUCCAAGACCUCUGGCCUCAGGCUGUAAUCCCAUGCAGAUGAACUCCCAUGUUAGGAUGACAGUGUGGGAUGAACAGUCACCGGUGCCUGAUUCUUGGAUGAAGAACUGUUGCGUAAGACUAUAGACAUGUAUAUUGAAGCCUGGACAUGGUGGCACAUGCCUCUGACUCCAACACCAGAGAAGUUGAGGCCGGAGGAUUGGAAACUUGAGGCCAACCCAGGCUAUAUAAAAAGGUCUUGUCCUAAAAAGAAAGAAAACAAAAGACGAAAGGAAACAUGUAGACUUAAAACUUCAGGAUCUCGGCAGCUGGCCAGGAUGAUCAAGUUGUUUCAGAAGUUCCUCUUAUCCUGUGAUCCUAGCAAAAGGGUGGGUGUCAUUUUCAAAUCUCUACCUAGUCUUUCCCCGCUCCAAUAGUAGUCUGCUCCUCCUCCUCCUCCUCCCCCUCCUCCUCCUCCUCCUCUCUCUCUCUCUCUCUCUCUCUCUCUCUCUCUCUCUCUCUCUCUCUCCCUCUCCCCCUCUCCCUCUCCCUCUCCCUCUCCCUCUUCCCCCUCUCUGAACCAAAUGGUUCAGCUGCUGCAAAUUGACAUUUUUAAUUUUGGGAGCUGAAUUAUAAAAACCACAAAUGCAGCCUGUUGCGAACUUGGUGACCAAGAGAAAAUGAAUAAUGGUGACUGGCCCUCUGAGAGGACACCCACUAGCCACAGAGACACUCUUCUGCCACUGUCCAUGAGUAUGGUUUUCCUAGUUUGCAGAUGUAUUUGGUCUUUUAUAUUAAGACCUAGAUGGCUCAGACUUUGGUGUGCCAGCAUGUGUCAGUCACAGACAGAGGCGAGUAGGUGGAGCCUGAGCAGUUGGCUUUAAGCAGCUCAGCCUAAGUGACAGAUGAGGCAGUUGGAGGUAUAGACGUAGAUGUUUUCUCUGCAUAUUCUUGACCUUCAGCCUGGCCUAUAGCACUGAGCAGAUGUGGAUGGCUUGUACAUGCACCCUUCAAAAUUCAUAUUGAUUCUCCUUUCUUAUUAUGUGACAUUAAGAAGUAGGAGGGGAUUGAAUCAAGGGGCUCCAUCAUCACAAAUGGUUAGUCCCUUAAAAAGAGACUGGGAGAACCCUUCUCUUUGCCUUGGACCGUACGAGAUGUAAUACUGGUCUUCUCUGGCAGACAUAGCACCAUCCUAGAAAUCCUAACUGGCCUUUGACCUUCGACUUUUACCCCCCAGAGCUGUGAGAAGUGCAUUUCCAUUCUAUAUAAAUUGCUAUAGCAACACAGAUGGACCAUGACAAGCCACUUUAUUAAUAUUACCUGAAUAUAUUCACAGGGUCUGGUGAAAAUUUCUCCUUUUGAAUGAAAAUGUUGAGGUAUGUGCCAUGGGUUGAAAUGAAUGUGAUUUCCUGUAAAACUGAACAUUGGACAUUGACCUCUAUGGUAUUAUCUGUAAUUUGCUAAAUGCCUACACUGUGCUGUGUCCUGUACUGGGGACUUUCUGUGUGGUUACCUGAGGAACUCCUGACUGAGGCUGGGGCCUGACACAAGAGGACCUGGAUGCUUAGGAGGCCAGCUGUUUGCCCCCGGGGCACCUAGUUUAUGGCAGAUGCAGUAUGGACUUGAACCUAGGUCUGUGAGGAUAUGGGCACCAUGUUGGUGCCCACCCUGCACACUUUACAAAAUUCCUGGAAGAACAAACUCAAUCGAAGAGGCAAAAGGACUUUACAUGCUUUUAAACUCUGUUCCAGUAUCAGGAGAUUGCGGGACUGAAAGUUCACCAUCAGAACCUUCCCCUGGGCCCCAUGUACUCCGAGUCCAUUUAUUCCCUUGGUUCUGUGCUGUCUGAGACGAUGUCUCAGACACUUCCAUCUUUCACUCCUCACCACUUUCUCUCUGUUGCUUGUUUGUCUGGCCGAGGUCAUGACUUUACCACCCACGAGCCCUGCCUAUCUCUUCCGUUAAGCAGGUGUCCUUGCUUGGUUCAUGGUUUACCUUGAACCUCCUUCAUGCCCUGAUCCAUCGUGGACUUCUUGGCAUCCCUAUUCCAGUCCCAGGUCUAGUGACGUCUCUGGUACCCUCUUCUCAAUUGGUGGAUGGUUGGAAUGGGCUGGGUGGAGGACAGAGUCAUGAUUUUGUGGAGACAGGCCUAGGGGACUGGAAUUCUGUCUCUGGGAGACUGACUUUAGCCUGAUGGUCUAUCUCUUCCUAGAACGAGCUAAUACAAACCCCCUGAUAAACAUAUUUGCAUGGAGUAUCUCUGUGACCCCGGAAGCCUGGAGAGGAUUUCAGUGGGGAACUCGGUAAUGGGGACACUCUGCCACAAGUACAUUUUGGGAGCUGCAAUGUUCCCAGUCUAGAUAACUGUCAUUGUCUUUUGUUUGAUGUCAUUGAACUGAUGUCCUGAGUUUAGGUUUGUUUGACCUAGAAACCUGGGUAUUAGCUGGUAAGCAGAAUUGCCAUCUCAGUCACAGAGGGCUUCUUAAAGUUUGUCCAAAGAGAAGCCGCAGGGUACCUACCUAUAAUGGGACUGCUGGAUGGCAGAGGCCAGGACUGUCCGCUCACAGGUGUGCUGAGGCUGGGGGUCAAAGAGACUCUAAAUCAGAGAUGAUUGUGUAUUUCCCCAUAUCACUCAGCAAGUGGGCACCUUUUCUGAGCCCAUGCCUGCCCAUCUACAUCCUGGGGGUAGAGAGGGAGGGCAAGGUUUGCAGGCUAGGAAGCAUCUCUCAUUCCAGGCAGUAAGGAGCCCUUGGGGCUGGUAGGAGGGGAGUGCCUACAGGUCUGCCCAUCACUUCUCAAGUCCAACUUUAGACCUAGCCUCUAUUUUUCACUUAGUAGAAGCUCUUGAUGGGCGCCGUGGUGGUGGCGGAGGCUAAUUGCACGGAGCCUGGAGCUAAUGCAGAUGCUGUAAUUCCUGUCACCUUCUCACAGCUCAGUAGGAGCUUCUGAUGAAUAACAUGUGGCGUUCAGAGGCUGAGCACAUCAGUCGCAUGCGUCGCUGGCAGAGGUCUGGCAGGGCACCAGAGCAGUGGGGGAGCACAGUGCCACCUUGCCAAGUCUUUAAUUAAAAGAGGAAAUAUGUCAGAACCUACUCGGCCACUGUCCAACCUAACAGGUCUUCCCUAGUGUCAGUGAACAUUGCUGUUAAAAGACUUGAUGUAGGGCUAGAGAGAUGGCUCAGUGGUUAAGAUUAUUUGCUUCUCUUGAAGAGGACUCAGUUUCAGUUCCCAGCACCCAAAUGGGGCUCACAAUCAUCCAUGACUCCAGUUCUAGGGGAUCCAGUGCUCUUUUUCUGACCUUUGCAGGCCCCUGCUAUGUACAUGGUGUACAUACAUAUGUGCAGGCAAAACAUCCAUAUGCACAAAAUAAUAAAUACAUCUACCUUAUUUAUUUAUUUUUUUAAAAAGGACUUUGAUGGGAGUCAGCCAUUCCCCUGAGCCUGCUCCCUGAGGGAGGAGAGAGACUAUCGGAACAUGCUAGGGCUGAGAAAUGGUCACCUGGGAAAGGUCUUUCAGUCUUGGGGGGUCUCCCUGCAGGUCCCCCAUGGCAGCCUGGGGAUCUUGCCUUUCUGCAUCUCUUGCUUGGGAACAGUAACCUUCAGAGAUCAGGAAGAGCCUGGGAUUCAGACAACUCAAUAAAGUCACAAUAAAACAUCCAAAGCCUUCUAUUCUCCCUCACUUCUUUAACUCAAUUUAUUUUUCAUUUUGUGGACAGAGAUUUAGUCUGGGUAUUAGUUUAUGAUUUUUACUGAAGGAAUUACUCAACACACACACAUAUAAAAAGGAAAUAUUAUUUUUAUCAUUCAUUUUGUGCCAUGUAUACCAUAGGAGGAGAAAACAGAGUGAAAUCACUUCAGUACUGCUGUUUUUCAUUACAAAGUUAUUACAUAUAGAAAUUACUCCAAAUUAUCUGAAAUGAAUGGAAAUUAUGAGGUUUAAAUUCCCCAGGUUACUGCAGGCACAGCUCUGGAAAUUUAUUUUGUCAUCUUGCUGAACAUAAUUGCUACAACAAAAUUUCUUCCAUUUUACAACUGCGGUAUAACUUAUUUAUACCGCUGUAGCAGUAAUUUUACAUC